AAUCAAACAGCUGUUAAAUACUUCACAUGUAGUUAUCAAUAUUUACAGAAUAUCGUGGUGAUACAGAAACAGGACAUAUCGCCGAAGGUAAUUUAGUAAUGUACAGAAUAUCGUGGUUAUACAGAAACAGGACAUAUCCCCGACGGUGAUUUAGUAAUGUACAGAAUAUCGUGGUUAUACAGAAACAGGACAUAUCCCCGACGGUGAUUUAGUAAUGUACAGAAUAUCGUGGUUAUACAGAAACAGGACAUAUCCCCGACGGUGAUUUAGUAAUGUACAGAAUAUCGUGGUUAUACAGAAACAGGACAUAUCCCUGACGGUGAUUUAGUAAUGUACAGAAUAUCGUGGUUAUACAGAAACAGGACAUAUCCCCGACAGUGAUUUAGACAUAUCCCCGACGGUGAUUUAGUAAUGUACAGAAUAUCGUGGUGCUACAGAAACAGGACAUAACCUCGAUAGUGAUUUAGUAAUGUACAGAAUAUCGUGGUGAUUUACAGAAACAGGACAUAUCCCCAACAGUGAUUUAGUAAUGUACAGAAUAUCGUGGUGAUACAGAAACAGGACAUAUCCCCGACGGUGAUUUAGUAAUGUAAAGAAUAUCGUGGUGCUACAGAAACAGGACAUAUCCCCGACGGUGAUUUAGACAUAUCCCCGACGGUGAUUUAGUAAUGUACAGAAUAUCGUGGUGCUACAGAAACAGGACAUAUCCCCGACGGUGAUUUAGUAAUGUACAGAAUAUCGUGGUGCUACAGAAACAGGACAUAUCCCCGACGGUGAUUUAGACAUAUCCCCGACGGUGAUUUAGACAUGUCCCCGACGGUGAUUUAGA